UUUUGGGCGGGGUCUACACGGGCUUAAAAAUGUUGGCUGCAAGCCCCGGGAGAUGUGCCGGUCCCUGUCCGUGCAUCUGCGGGCAGGUCUCGCGUUUCGGUCUCCGCAGUGUGGCGGGGCAAUCUGUGGAAACUGCCGGUGAUACGCCGGAGGAAGGUGCCGUUGACGUCAAGUUCUCACCACGCGUUCGGGUUGGCCGUAAAAGGCGCUGCAAUCGCGGGGGCAAAGGCUUAUUCCCCAAGCUUGUCCCCGGUCGGGUCCGUGUUUCUCCCCCCCGGGGGAAACGAGCACCUAAUUUUUUUGAUUGGGGGAAGUGCCAUGUCUGCGUUAAAAGGGGGACG
rnacentral:rRNA from 1 species